GGCACGUGGAACUCUUGCCCGGACAGGGAGGCGAACUUGCGUUCCAGCCUCUGCCUCGCCACACCGGCCGUUAGAUCUGGGCAGAGGGAAACUGAGGCCUAGAGAGGGAGGGGCCUGCACAAGGGAUGUCAGAACUGGAACCAGAACCCAGGCACUACGGAGCCAUGGAAGGUAUUUGAGCAAGACAGUGAGACUACCAGGAGAUUGAGACAACCUUAGGUGGUGGUGCCUUAGCAACAACAGCAGCCAGACACCAGGAGGCCUGCGUCCAGUCCCAGCUCUGCUACCUGUGGUGUCAGACAAGUGUCCUUACUUGGGAGCUUAGUUGGGGGUGGGCGCUGUGGGUCAGAGGCUCUGCAUUAGAAGCUGUUUGAGGUUCUCUCAUGGGUGCAUGCACUGGCACAACCUUUGGGGAAAGCAAGUUGACGAUGUAAACCAAUGCUUCGGAUGUGCCCCUUCCACUUUUAGAAAUUCAUUUCAAAUAAACACAUGUGGGCACAAAAAUUCA